CCAGACAGCCAGGAUGUUGGCUUAGAAGCAGCCAUCAUUUAAAGAAAGCGUAAUAGCUCACUGGUCGAGUCGGCCUGCGCGGAAGAUGUAACGGGGCUAAACCAUGCACCGAAGCUGCGGCAGCGACACUAUGUGUUGUUGGGUAGGGGAGCGUUCUGUAAGCCUGUGAAGGUGGCCUGUGAGGGUUGCUGGAGGUAUCAGAAGUGCGAAUGCUGACAUAAGUAACGAUAAAGCGGGUGAAAAGCCCGCUCGCCGGAAGACCAAGGGUUCCUGUCCAACGUUAAUCGGGGCAGGGUGAGUCGACCCCUAAGGCGAGGCCGAAAGGCGUAGUCGAUGGGAAACAGGUUAAUAUUCCUGUACUUGGUGUUACUGCGAAGGGGGGACGGAGAAGGCUAUGUUGGCCGGGCGACGGUUGUCCCGGUUUAAGCGUGUAGGCUGGUUUUCCAGGCAAAUCCGGAAAACCAAGGCUGAGGCGUGAUGACGAGGCACUACGGUGCUGAAGCGACAAAUGCCCUGCUUCCAGGAAAAGCCUCUAAGCAUCAGGUAACAUCAAAUCGUACCCCAAACCGACACAGGUGGUCAGGUAGAGAAUACCAAGGCGCUUGAGAGAACUCGGGUGAAGGAACUAGGCAAAAUGGUGCCGUAACUUCGGGAGAAGGCACGCUGAUAUGUAGGUGAAGCGACUUGCUCGUGGAGCUGAAAUCAGUCGAAGAUACCAGCUGGCUGCAACUGUUUAUUAAAAACACAGCACUGUGCAAACACGAAAGUGGACGUAUACGGUGUGACGCCUGCCCGGUGCCGGAAGGUUAAUUGAUGGGGUUAGCGGUAACGCGAAGCUCUUGAUCGAAGCCCCGGUAAACGGCGGCCGUAACUAUAACGGUCCUAAGGUAGCGAAAUUCCUUGUCGGGUAAGUUCCGACCUGCACGAAUGGCGUAAUGAUGGCCAGGCUGUCUCCACCCGAGACUCAGUGAAAUUGAACUCGCUGUGAAGAUGCAGUGUACCCGCGGCAAGACGGAAAGACCCCGUGAACCUUUACUAUAGCUUGACACUGAACAUUGAGCCUUGAUGUGUAGGAUAGGUGGGAGGCUUUGAAGUGUGGACGCCAGUCUGCAUGGAGCCGACCUUGAAAUACCACCCUUUAAUGUUUGAUGUUCUAACGUGGGCCCCUAAUCGGGGUUGCGGACAGUGUCUGGUGGGUAGUUUGACUGGGGCGGUCUCCUCCUAAAGAGUAACGGAGGAGCACGAAGGUUGGCUAAUCCUGGUCGGACAUCAGGAGGUUAGUGCAAUGGCAUAAGCCAGC
rnacentral:rRNA from 1 species